rnacentral:tRNA from 1 species
GGCCGGUUAUCUCAGCUGGUUAGAGCAUGGUGCUGAUAAUGCCAAGGUCACGGGUUCAAUCCCCAUAUGGGCCA